GAGCUUCUCAGCUUCAUGGAUGCUGUAUCUAUAAAUGCAGCCAGCUGGUGAGAAAGAUGUGUUUGAGUCGAGUUGAGCUGCAUGCAGUUUAUCAAGCUGGUGUUAUCCCAAGUGUCACUGCAGGAAAACUUCUUGAAUUGGAGUUCAUGGUCAGUUUGAGCUGUUUGCAGUGUUGCUGUUUGGUGUACAGUGGUUUUGCAGUCCCUUUCCAGUUGAGAGAUGCUCUGAAAUGGAGCUUGUGCAGACUUGCAGUUCAACAUCACACUUAAAUGUGUCAUUUGUCUACGUUGGUGCCCAUGCAAUAUAUGCAGUGUUGAACAGUUUGGUAAAAUAGUCUAUGCUGCCUGAUGGCUGUCGGUCUUAUUUUAUCGGUUGCAUUUUUUCGAUGUGCCGUCUCUUGCUAC